ACAAGUGCUCAGACUGGUAUAACAAGGAGUGCCUACUGGUUGGGAAUCUGCAGUGAAGUUUGUGUCUUGGUACUUUUUAUGUCACAAUAUUCUCUCUCUCUCUCAGAGAUCAACACAUUUACCCUGCAACAUGCCCAAGUGUCCCCGAUGCAACAAGACGGUGUACUAUGUGGAGAAGGUGAGCUCACAGGGGAAAGACUGGCAUGUGUGCUGUCUGAAGUGUGGAAAGUGCAACAAGGAUCUGGCAGGCAGCGUGCAUUCAGAUAGUGAUGGAACACCCUAUUGCAUUCCCUGCUACACAGACAUAUUUGGACCCAAGUAACGCGAAGGGUUUGGACAUGGGGGCACCAAAAAGCCACACAUUGGGACCCUGAGAAAGAUGAUGCCUCCUUCGGUUACUCAAAGGAAAAUGGAUGCCAAGAGAUGGACGGAAGACAACAGUCGAUUCGCCAUGUUACCUACAGAAUAUGUUUUUAAUGCAAAUAAAAUGUUUUACUAAAUGCAUAAAAGCAUGCAGAUGUGGUCAAGAGGUUCAACAGUUGUUCAGACCAAAUGUCAGAAUGGGGAAGAAAAGUGACUUUGACCAUGGAACGAUUGUUGGUGUCUCAGAAACUGCUGAUCUCCAGUGAUUUUCACUCACACGAUUUCUGUGAGUUUCUGGAGUCAGUAGAAAAUUGUAUGAAAAACAAAAAACAUCCAGUGAGCAGCAGUUCUGUGGGCAGAAACGCAUUGUUAAUGAGAGAGGUCAGAGGAGAAGGGCCAGACUGGUCGAAGCUGACAGGAAGGCGACGGUAACGCAAAUAAUCACACAUUACAACAAUGCAUCAAAACUCUAAGUGGAUAGGCAACAGUAGCAGAAGACCAAUUGGUCUAAAAAUAGUCAAAUAAAUACCUAAUAAAGUGCUCACUGGGUGUAUUAUGUACAA